rnacentral:rRNA from 1 species
UACGUAGGGUGCGAGCGUUAAUCGGAAUUACUGGGCGUAAAGCGUGCGCAGGCGGUUUUGUAAGCCCGAUGUGAAAUCCCCGGGCUCAACCUGGGAAUGGCAUUUGGGACUGCAAGGCUCGAGUGCGGCAGAGGAGACUGGAAUUCCUGGUGUAGCAGUGAAAUGCGUAGAUAUCAGGAGGAACACCGAUGGCGAAGGCAGGUCUCUGGGCUGACACUGACGCUCAUGCACGAAAGCGUGGGGAGCAAACAGG